rnacentral:rRNA from 1 species
UGGGGAAUCUUGCACAAUGGGGGAAACCCUGAUGCAGCGACGCCGCGUGAGCGAUGAAGGUUUUCGAAUCGUAAAGCUCUGUCCUAUGGGAAGAUAAUGACGGUACCAUGGGAGGAAGCCCCGGCUAACUACGUGCCAGCAGCCGCGGUAAUACGUAGGGGGCGAGCGUUGUCCGGAAUUACUGGGCGUAAAGGGUUCGCAGGCGGCAUGGUAAGUCCGAUGUAAAAGGCGAAGGCUCAACCUUCGUAAGCAUCGGAAACUGUCAAGCUUGAGUGAAGGGGAGGCAAGUGGAAUUCCUGGUGUAGCGGUGGAAUGCGUAGAUAUUAGGAGGAAUACCGGUGGCGAAGGCGACUUGCUGGACUUCAACUGACGCUGAGGAACGAAAGCGUGGGUAGCAAACAGG